rnacentral:rRNA from 1 species
GACUGCGAGAAUGACAAUUCGAGCAGGUGCGAAAGCAGGUCAUAGUGAUCCGGUGGUUCUGAAUGGAAGGGCCAUCGCUCAACGGAUAAAAGGUACUCCGGGGAUAACAGGCUGAUACCGCCCAAGAGUUCAUAUCGACGGCGGUGUUUGGCACCUCGAUGUCGGCUCAUCACAUCCUGGGGCUGAAGUCGGUCCCAAGGGUAUGGCUGUUCGCCAUUUAAAGUGGUACGCGAGCUGGGUUUAGAACGUCGUGAGACAGUUCGGUCCCUAUCUGCCGUGGGCGUUGG